rnacentral:other from 1 species
AGGCCCCUGCGAUGUUCGACCGGGAGCAGAUUUUUGUGGAGCCGAUAUGCUGAAACCUGGGAGGCCGAUAAGGCCCACCCCCGUCGGCAGCGCCUCUGAGCGCUAGGUCGGGGACGCCGGCGGCCGCCCACCUUGACUAAGGGUUCCAGCAAAACUCUCCCACCGGCAUACUGCGGAGGCUUU